ACGUAAAAAUUUAUUUUUUUAAAUUCGCAAAAUUUUUCAACAACUAAAUUAAACAAUAUGAAUUGAUUCAUCAGCGUUUACUUAAAAAGAAACAAAAAAGGACAAUGUCAGCGGAAAUGCUGAACCACAAGAAACCUCCAAAAACAACGUGAACGAACAAAAGCAACAAAUCAGCGAUAUUUGAAUAGGAUUCAAUGAAAAAUCCUACAAAACAUCCUUUAAGCUGCAAACAAGAUGGAAGCAACCGGAGCCAGUCAACACAGAGACCAACGGAAGUAUAAUAAACUGCAUUCGGAUGAAGGGGGAAAUUUUAAUUCAUAAACUAAAGGAGUAUUGAAGGAGUACACCACCGUGAGCUCUAUUAAUGAAAUCCUAUUAUGAGAUUUAUUGACCGGUUCAACACCAUCCAUGCUCUUGUACCACCAAAGCAACAAACUCAAACACAAAUACCAAAAUCUCAAACUGGAUAUUGUGCCGCCCUGCUACAAAUUUUCUGCAACAAUGUUUUCCCAUUCGAAUGGUGGAUAUCCAUCAAUUCAACAACGAAUAAUGUAAAACCACUAAAUGGACUUAUUAGCAGAAGUUAAAAGAAACAUCGGGGAAUGAUUUUACAUAUAAUGAGAGCCGCGUUUCGCAGUUGAUUAAGCCUAUUUGGUGUGGAUAAUGGCUUACAAGGACCGUUUCUUGGAAGAAACUAUUUAUUUCGAACUUAUAGCGAUUAAGCACAUGCGCAUUAUACACCAAAAACCAUCCAAGUUGGAUUCAAGUUCUAA